rnacentral:rRNA from 1 species
CUUGACCUCGGAUCAGGUAGGGAUACCCGCUGAACUUAAGCAUAUCAAUAAGCGGAGGAAAA